rnacentral:rRNA from 1 species
CAAUAGCGUAUAUUUAAGUUGUUGCAGUUAAAAAGCUCGUAGUUGGAUUUCGGGUGGGACGCAGCGGUCUCGCAUUGCGUUUGUACUGCUGCAGCCCUCCUUCUUGCCGGGGGCGGCCUCUCGGACUUCACUGUCUGGGGGUCAGAAUCGGCGAUGUUACUUUGAGUAAAUUAGAGUGUUCAAAGCAAGCUUACGCUCUGAAUAUAAUAGCAUGGGAUAACACGACAGGACUCUGGCCUAUCGUGUUGGUCUAUAGGACCAGAGUAAUGAUUAAGAGGGACAGUCGGGGGCAUUCGUAUUCCGUUGUCAGAGGUGAAGUUCUUGGAUUUACGGAAGACGAACAUCUGCGAAAGCAUUUGCCAAGGAUGUUUUCAUUGA